CCCCACAUGGCUGGCUUUCAAACAUGCCUUCAAGUGUGUGCUUUACUAUAAAAGUGAGGGGCUGCCCGCCAUGAACCUGCAAAGGUCAGCCGGGCCAGGAUGACAGCCGGGGAUGGACUGCCUUACUCGGUGGGGGGUCUGCGGGCCUGAGUGGCCCCUCUUGCGUCGGUGCUGCUCACAAUGCUAGGCCCUUUCUCGGCCGCAGCUCUGCAGUCACACCGGGCUCCUUGCCCAGUAAGGAGGCUCUGUACCCAAAACACCAAAUGAAACCAUCGGUGACUGGUAGAGUGCAUCCCUGGCUAAGAAGCUGUUCUGACCCACCCAAGGUCCCGGAACCCAACUGCAGCCCCCAGUGGCUAUGACAUUGUAAGUUUUCAGAUCUAUGACACUGAGGGGGAGAUGCAAGACCAAGGACAGCACAGUGGUUAAGAGCAUGGGUUUGCUGGUAAGGGUGACCCUGUGAGUUCCUUAAGUAAAGUACCAGAUAAUCUUUAAAAUCAAAAGAGAAUGGGUUUGGGAAUCAGAUAGGAGAUUAAAUCUUCUUUCUCUCACUUCUUAGCUCUGUGCCUUCACAAUGAGUUUACCUCAGUUAUCGAACCUAUAAAAUGGGAUAAUACCGCUGAGCUCACAGUGGGGUGGACAGAGGAGAGAGAGAGAAAAUCCAGCUUUGGCAAUGAAGACAGCGCCUCGCAGGUGACAAUGGAGGCUGUUUUGUAAUUGCCCGUGUUGUUAUUACAGUGGAAGGCCUUUCUCAUCAAACCCCCACUUUGAACACGUCGACAUGUUCAAGUCAGGACUCUUUAUAAAAGGAUGUCCGACAAGAGAACUGUGAUGCCUUUAAAAUCAACAAAAGGAUAGGGGUACCCUCCCUCCGGCUGCGGCAGUGAGAGCAGGCUGCCACCACACAGGCUCCUCUCUGACCAAGAACGUGGGAACCUGAGGGUGGGGACGCCUGGCAGGCGACGGCAGGCGCCUUCCUUGGUCCAUCAUCUAAAGGAAGGAGCUGCUGAACCAGCACACUUCUUUCCUGAACCAGAUCAUCUAGAAGGAUGCACCUGUUUCGAUCUGAUGUUCAUCAUGUACAGUAUGUAUUUUUUGCCUCGGUUGCAGAUUUAAGCAGAUGGUUGAAGAAGCUUCUAAAGACCAAGAGUGGAGACAUUUCUACGAUGGGACUGCCCUUUACCUUGACUUUUCUUACCUCAACAUCUUUCUUCAGUUUUUCCAGGAACACCUUUUUGUUGUUGUCAUCAAUAUAAAUCUUUUGACCCUCA